UUGUUUGCAGAUGUAGCAUCAUCAAGAUUCACAUGCAAAUGUUGGUGGGUGGGACUAUUAAGCAAUCUAAGCGAUUUUCCAAUCCAUUGGCUUUAUGAAGUGAGAAUCUUGAUGAUGCUGCAUCAGCUAUAUA
rfam:Lupinus angustifolius cultivar Tanjil chromosome LG10, whole genome shotgun sequence.